rnacentral:rRNA from 2 species
CUCGCAAGAGUGAACUAGCUAACUGAAAUCAUAUAGUUUAAAAAACUUAUGAUGUCGUAAGGGAAAAUAAUGAUAAUACCUUACUAAUAGUGUCGNCCAAAUCUGGUGCCAGAAGACUCGGUAAGACCAGAGACGCAAACGUUAAUCAUCAUAAUCAGGCGUAAAGGGUUUGUAGGCAGCAUUCACCAGACUAUGAAUAAUAAAAUAAAGUAGUUUAAUUGAUUGCUAGAAUCAAAAAGAGGUUAUAGUGUAUAACGCCUAGAGGAGGGCUGAUAUCCAUAGAUCCUAGGCAGAAUACUAAGGGCGAAGGCCACUUUCCACUAAUGAUUGACGCUGAGAAACGAAGGUUAGGGUAGGAAAUAGGAUUAGAUAACCCCGGUACUCCUUUCUGUAAACGAUGAAUGGUAGUCAUUAGUUAUAAAACUAGAGACGAAGUUAACACAAUAACCAUUCCGCCUUGUGAGUACUACUGCAAAGUAGAAAACCAAAAAAUUAGUCGGUCUCGAAGCCANCGGAU